UACGGAGGGUGCGAGCGUUGUCCGGAAUCACUGGGCGUAAAGGGCGCGUAGGCGGCUUCUCAAGCGUGUGGUGAAAGUCCGGGGCUCAACCCCGGAUCGGCCGUGCGGACUGGGGAGCUCGAGUUCUGUAGAGGCGGGUGGAAUUCCGGGUGUAGCGGUGGAAUGCGUAGAGAUCCGGAAGAACACCGGUGGCGAAGGCGGCCCGCUGGGCAGAGACUGACGCUGAGGCGCGAAAGCUAGGGGAGCAAACGGG
rnacentral:rRNA from 1 species